rnacentral:rRNA from 1 species
CUCCUACCCAUCAGUAACACGCAUUAGGGUCCAUAACCACGUAUCAAUCACCCCUCAACAUCCGGCUAACAAUCAGUAACCGGUACUGCUCAGUAACAGGUGGCCAAGAUACCCUGAGGACGGGAAUACUCUCGGGAAACUGAGGCUAAUCGCCGAUAACGCUGGGCUCCUGGAAGGGGCAAAGCCGGAAACGCUCCGGCGCCACAGGAUGCGGGUGCGGUCGAUUAGGUAGACGGUGGGGUAACGGCCCACCGUGCCCAUAAUCGGUACGGGUUGUAAGAGCAAGAGGCCGGAGACGGAAUCUGAGACAAGAUUCCGGGCCAUCCGGGGGGCAGCAGGCGCGAAACCCUUACACGGUACGAAAGGGGGAUAAGGGGGCUCCGAGGGGGAAGGCAUAGAGCGGGUCACUUGGUCACCAAUAAGGAGAGCGAGGAUAU